ensembl:lncRNA
GUUUAGUCACUGCUAGCUGAACACUCCUACAGGCCCCCAGGGAAACACAAGAGUAGGGGGGAUAGCUGUGAUGACAAGCUUGCCUUUUAGCAGAGCAGGCCUGUGGGGACAUAAGUGUGGCUCUGAGAGGGGCUGUCCAAACCUCUCUGCUCGUACAGGAACCAACCGUCACUGUCACUGUUUUGCCAUGGUCUCAGUGACACUGUUUGGGCAACACAGACAACUCUCUUUUCCGGUCAGCAGGUUAUCUGCUGUGUGGUUUGACUGAGCCUCUUGGAUGAAAAAUGGCCACCCGAUACAUCAAGCACAAAUAUCUGUGGAUUUAUGUUUUGAAUUAUGAGAAACUGUGAAUAAAACAAAAAUGGAAAUUCCACCUGUGGUGAACUUGGAGGGACAUCAGUUUCGGACUGUUUUAGGAUCACACAAAUUUUCAACUCAGGGGUCGUCUUCAGAAAAUGUCUCAACAGACCACCGAGGGGAUCAUUGUUUCCCUGAAGCCCAAACCUGCUCGCUGUUGGAACCGGAUCAGGACAAAACCAAGCUAAAGAAGAGUUUUGUCUCCGUCGGUCAGAACAACAAUGAAUUCCCUGAGGCUGUGUGCUUUGAGGAGCCUGGGCACGUGUCCGUGAUUCCUGGGGGGAAACCGCUGGACCAGAGUCCACUGGCCUCAGCUCAGCUCCACAAAGCAGGUAUUGUGUUCACAUCACCAAGCUCAAAUGAAGACUGCUGCGGUGACUUUCCACUUCCUGUACCUGUCCCAGAACGCCAGUCACACCAGGUGGCUCAUAAUCAGGCUGGUCAGACAGAAGAUUCGAACUGCGGAUGUGCAAAAACAGAAUUCCAGAAUUUAGAGCCAAUUUCAAAUGGCCAUGUUUAUAGAAAUCCAGGGGACCAGUGCUCCAUCCCCAGUCUAGUCUCCAAUCCUCAGCUUGUUGUCCCCACACCUGUGUAUGAUUCGGGCUGUAAAGUCCUGGAUCUCCCAUGCAUUGUUAAGCACAAACUGAGCUCCAUCACCUUCUCUGACAACACUUGCUCCACCGGAGCCGACGGCCAUGCUUUUGCCAACGAGACUUCUGAAGAUGGAGAGUCUUCACCGGAGGAGGAGGAUAGUCAUGAUGAUGCUGAUGAUGGCGACGAUGACGAAGUUUUCCCAGAGUUGCCUCAGAGUCGAGAGCUCCAAGUCAAUUCCAGACAUCGGAGGAGUUGCAAAGACAAACAGAAGAGGAGAGGAGCUGUCAGUGCCCGAGCAGAAACCGAGCACACAGUCAACAACAAUGGUUAUGAAGCAGAGGGGGAAACCAGCAAUAAGGAGUCUCCCUGGUCAGAAUCAAUGAGCCAGCUGAUGAGGAAACUGGACCAGCUGAAUCUGGACAUAGAGGAGGCUCUGAGUGCGAGCUCGUCUCCCUCCACCACACCCUGCACCACCCGCAAGAAACAGUGGGGUGCUGUUUCAAAGUCCACUCCAAACCAAACCCAGAAGUACCAAGUUCUCCAAAUACCCAGCAGAGGGGAAUGUCCGAGCCCAGACGGAUCUCCUGCCCCUCACAGCGCCUCAAUGGGAACAAGAACAAGAAGCAAGAAAACGGUAGGUUUCUCUGACAAUCGCAACUUCCCGCAGGCAUCCAACAGCUUCAUACAGGUACAUACAGAUAUCACAAACUUGCCA